rnacentral:lncRNA from 1 species
UUUUCAAUUUUAAAAUGAGUUAUUUUGUUUUAAAAGCUACUAAUUGGCUGUAACCAGUAGAAAUAUUUUCCUACUGUUACAAAUAAAAUAACGAAAUUAAUGAGGCCUUUUGGGUUUUCUCUCCCGUUUAAACUCUCCACUCAAAGGAAAAUAGCAUCAUUUUAUUUUCUCAAUAUAAAAGUAAUGCGUUACUGAUUUAAAAACAAAUGAGCAGAAAAGUUUAAAUAAGACACUCCCACGAUCUAUCUCCUUUUCUAACAUCUUGCUCCACAUUUUACAGGGGUGCAGAAGAAAUUGGACAUUCAUGACUUGUGAUGAGGGGAGGUAUAGAGAGAGACAGUUGGACUGGGACUAGAGAAGAUAAAAAAUUAUUCCUCGAAGAGGAAGAAAAGGCCAACGGACACGGGAGCAGAUACAGCCUCUCCCUGUAAACCAAAGAAAGGCAAAUUCACCACAAAGAGAAGCUACUUCUAGUCUCCGGGGUUGGCAAAGAGGAAAAUGAGUGGCAGGACCUGAUGUGUCAGGGAAGGAAGGGGAGGGCCGGCUUCUGCGGCGCUGCUGAUGGGAGUGGUAAUUGGGGUCCUGAUCUCAUGGUUGACGUGGCCCUCACGUGAGCUGGAGCCGACGCGUGCAGACGUCCUUCUAAUCCUAGUCUUCGUUUGGUCCGGUUGCACUCUUCCUAUCGCCCAGAGGGCGAGAGGGCCUGUGGCCUGGGGGAAGGAGGACGAGGUUCUGCCUGGAUCCCAGCAGUAG